rnacentral:rRNA from 1 species
UACGAAGGGGGCUAGCGUUGUUCGGAUUUAUUGGGCGUAAAGAGCUCGUAGGCGGUUCGGUAAGUCGGAUGUGAAAUCUCCACGCUCAACGUGGAGGGGCCAUUCGAUACUGCCGUGACUCGAGUCCGGUAGGGGAGUGUGGAAUUCCCGGUGUAGCGGUGAAAUGCGCAGAGAUCGGGAGGAACACCCGUAGCGAAGGCGGCACUCUGGGCCGGUACUGACGCUGAGGAGCGAAAGCGUGGGGAGCGAACAGG